rnacentral:lncRNA from 1 species
AUCUAGAUUAGAUUGAUUGAAUAAGUUUUCAGAACUUGGCUCUUUACAGUGGCAUAUGUGGCAAUUCUGCCACACACACACACACACACACACACACACACACACACACACACACACACACACACACACACACACACACACACACACACAUAUGUGGUAAGUAGUUUCCUCAAAUGAGAGAAAAAAAAAACUUCCUCCUUUUUGAAAUGCGUGUUUAAAGCCACAACGGGAGAUGACAGCGGCGAUAAUGAAUACGAUCAUCUAUGGUGCCAAACUUGCAUUUAGAAGGUCAUCAUGACACAGGAGCUGGAGCUCGCGGAGCUCAACGCUCCGCAUCAGCCUGAGGGAACCCACAUGAACGGCGGUGACGCCGAGCGGUCAGAGAGACGGCUGCUCAGAGUCGGCGUCCUGACGUUAGCGGUGCUGUGCGUCACGCAAGCGGCUCUUAACGUCUCCCUGCGCUUUGCCCUGCAUUCACAAGAAGCUGCAGCUCCGUUUCCUUUGAGCUCCACCGCUAUGGCAGACUUUUGCCAGAGUGAGGAGGGUCGACGGAACGCGAGCUACCGCUGCCCAUGUUCCUGCUACAGUGGACUACAGGGAACGCAGGAGACCACCACACUGCCUCCGGACUGGGUCACUUCCGGAGACUUUGGAUCAGGCUCUGGAUUCGACUCGCUGGAUGGAAUGUAUGAUCAAGAGUGAAACUGGAGUUUGGGUCCAGGUAUUAGGAGAUACUUUAUAUACUGUAUGUCUGUCUGCUAAACAUGCGAUCAACAGUUGGUUUGCCCUAUUUCACUCACACCACACACCAAAACCAAAAGCGUGUGUGUGUGUGUGUGUGUGUGUGUGUGUGUGUGGAAGAGUUUCCCUCAGCUCAACAAAGUCAGGCAGUACCUCAUUAUUUUGGCUUUAACACUAUCAACUGUACUGUUUCGGGUCAGUCCGAUCCAUUGCAAAGGUGUAACUACAGCAAGGAGAAGUGAAAAUCUUGGCUAAGAUAUAUUUUUGUGCAUUCACAGCAUUUGCCGUAACUGCUAACUAAACCCACAGACCGCAGUCAUCUUAAACAGCUGUUUAGCAGGGUUCCGGUGCAGUCAGAGCAUUUCAGCACAAAGCUUCUGACUGUGGUGCCAGUCACCAACCCACCACAAUAACACACAACACUGAUAAAGGCUUCACCAAGUCAUGAUCAUUAGAUGACGUUCACGAUCAGCAUUAUUAGUUGUGUGAUCUCAAAUAAUUGUGUCCAGAUUUCAACACCGCGUACGGUUCUUCUGUGAAUAAAAGCUGUACAUUCUUGCCUCUUCUUCUUCUG